AGGGGAGACUGUACCCCGUUUCAGGAGCAGUUGGGUGUGCAGGGGAGGCGUAAUAAAACCUUGAAAUUCCCUUUCUUCAGUAUCACUGAAUGCAGCAAUUGAGAUGAAAGUUGACAGUGUUCUGCUGUCUACUAUUUAUCCUAUUUACUUGGGCUUUUUUUAAUUUUAAUUUUUAUUUUUAUUUUUUUUAGAAGAGGAAAAUGAGUCUUUUGCAGUGAUAACAAAAGUCACAGUUCAGCUACUUGCCCUGUCUUCCUUUCUGUCCUUCACAGGCAUUUUCCACUUGAUAUACAGACCUGUGGUUCCCUUUCUUCUCAGCCCAACAAAACAGAAAGCAUAAUGAGCCAUUUUACACCAAUCCUGUGAAAUCUGAGUGUAGAAUUUGCAUCUGGAGCACUGAGGUUGGAAGCAGGUGAGAUUUUGCCCAGGUGUGCUGGAUUUGCGUGUGGGAGGGGUAUAUUGGUAUCUGCCUCUACAACACAGCAGCGGCUGCAAGGAGACUUAAUUUACACAUCCCAUCCCCAUAAAUACAGCUGUCAGCCUGUGAUUUCCCCAUCUGGUCAUUUCUACAAGCUGCUAAUGUGUUUAUGUCCAUCAGCAUAAAAACACAUUCCCAGGCUACUGCAAAGCUACGCAAUUUCUAAUGCUACUUACUGUUAGACCAGAGAACCAAGCAGCAGGCUCUCCUUGCUGGUGGACAGAAGAUAACUACAGUGACUGUGGGAACAGCGAGACACUCAAUGGAAGAACAGGGAAAGAUAUGCAGGAACCCACUGAGAACAGGACCCUUCUGGUUCCCAUCCAGCAAGUCACUGGCUUGAGAAGUGUUUGUUUUCUAGGCAACCGCCAGGUAAGAGGAAAUAAAUCUGUGCUAUAGCUCUGGGACAAAUGCCAAUUUGCCUGCGAGACAGGAGGUUAAAGGCUGUUUGUAUGAUUAACAUUCACACUUAAGGCACUUCAUGUUCACAUGGCUUGUCUAAGUGCUAGGCCUGACCUGAGCACUGGUGUUGCUUAACUGCAGCGAGAUGAGCAGUGUUACCUGCGUAACAAGCAACAGUUAUCUUGUGUAACUUUGACAAAAGUAAAUCUGCACUUAAAAAAAGAACUGAUUUGUAUUUUCUAUUCAGGUUGCAUGGUCUAUAUCAGCUUCUGCCUUCCACUGUUCCUCACCUUUUCUUUGAGAUCUGUUCAAGAAAAGGUGCAGGUAACUUCCCCUCAAAGUCCUGCUGAUCUCUGCAGAGCAAGAGCCCCCAAAACAAUCCAACAUAAAAGGACCUCAACCCAGCAAAAUUAUUGGGCCUGUGUCAAGAGAAGCUGAAUUAUGUACUUUAUACCCUAGUACAAAAUGGGGAAGGAAUAAGCAUACUCAGUGAUUACAUUUGGCUAUUUUCUUUUUUUCCCAGAGAACAGACUUUUUUGUUUGUUUGUUUAAAUCAGGGCAGUGUGUUUUCCAUCUGCAAAGUCAGGCAAACAGGGAAAGUAGCAGCCAUGUUAAUCACUGUCUUUCAUCAUGGAGAUACCAGACAAGUUUGGAAUCUUUUCAGCCUGUUGCAUGACUUUCCAUUUUGUCUUCAUUUAAAGCACUAUGAAAUUAUGUGGUAAUUCAGACGAGAAGAUGACUGCUGCAAAAAUCAAGCUUUAUUUUUAAAGACAGUGGCAGAUGGUUUCCUCAGCGCAGCCGUCGGGUUGAAGACCUGGUGAUGGGAGUUGUUUUGGUGGGGGUUUCUUCCUCUCUUAAUUCUGCCAGUAGCUCUAAAAGAGUAAAAUGUGUCAACAACCAGCACUCCACUGCCUUGAACAGAGAAAUCUGCAUGCAGCUCUUGAUCCCCAUCUGCACUCUCUCCCUUCCAGAGGAAUUGUAGAAUGUCCUGGGUUGGAAGGAACCUUAAUGAUCGUACAGUUCCAACUCUGCCAUAGGCAGGGUUGCCAUCCACUAGACCAAGUGUACUAAGACCAGAAGAAUAAGUUUUUUCAUGCAUUUUAGAAGAAAGAUAGGAAGAAAUUUAUGAUUUUAACUCAUCUGGCAGUCCAAAGUCCCUGACAAAGUUUCUCCACCAAGCUCUCACCCUUGAUACACUAAAUCUCCAGUCCUUCUCCACCUCUCUGUUUUUACUUUUGAACAUACACAUCUAAUGCCUUACCAUUCUCAGAGCUGUUCUCUUCAUCACUGGAGAAGGUGAUAACAGUUUUUUUGCGUCGAUGGGACUUCUGAGCACGUUUGUUGUUUCGGAGUGCUUGUGGCCGGGGUGUGACAAAAUCAUCAUCAUCAUCCCUGUUGGCUGUGCUCAGGGGCUGGCGGCAGCAGCCUGCUAAGAAGAAAGGAAAGGUAGCAGUCUUCUGUCUGUAAGGGUGAAGAAAACUCCCUAGGCAUCUCUGCUGGGCUGCAAGGUUAAGGGAAGACUGCAGUCCCACAAAUGGAAGGUACCUGCUGUUGGUCUUCGCUUGGCUGGCUCUGGCAAUGGAGUUUUAUCACCUUCCUGGCACAUCUCUGCUGAAUCCAGCCCUUGGUUAUGGCAGGCGGACAGCUUCUGCUCCAGCUCUUCAGCCAAAGCCUGGUAUAGUUGUAACACAGCAGCAAAAAAAAGAAAAAAAAGAAAAAGAAAGAAAAAACAACAGAGAGAAGCAUUACAUCCAUGGCGUAUCCAUCUCCUGCUCCAGGAUUUAGGAUCUCCGUUAAGUCGUUAAGGCGAAAUAGUAGCCUGUUGAACAUGGAGAACUGCAAAGCUUUCCGAUCACUGUGUUUGUAAAGCACUUGUUUUCCACAUCUGGAUGCUUCCCACCAACCAUCCUUACUUUAGUCUCAGGUUUGCCGACUGCUCUGCGGAAUCGAACCAGCACAGCUUGGAAACAGCUGUAGACAGCCGGGUCUUGGAGCUUGUCUGCAAAGCAGUCAAAGUUGUCCUGCAGCUUGUGAAGGCCCCGCUCUGAGAUGGGCAGCAGAGAAAGGCAGUGGGACAGAUCCCGGUACUGACGUUCAUUUCUGGGAAAGACAAAGAUUGCCCAUAGUUCAUAUGAAAAGGAGUGUGUAAAGAUGAGCACAUCCUACCUCGAACUGAAGCAUGUGAGGAAAAGGCAUUUCCCACAGGUGUUUCCUCCUUAUGGAACAUGAGAUUUACUGAUGUUCUGUUACAGACCUGUUACAGGGUGCCACACCUUGCAACCACUGUAUCCCACAAAAAAAUACUGACUUAGUGUCUGUCAGAAAGACAAAGGCUUCACUGUUACAGAACACAGUCACUUGUUAGGAAGCGUCAGAAGUUAUUGCUGGCUAGGAGGAGAAACACGCCGUGAAAUAAGGGCUCUUUCUGAAGGGACUCAUUUCAACUAAAAAGCGUAAAGAAAAAAAACAACUGGCUGCUCUUGAAAAUGUCUUUGCUGGUCAGUUACAGGCAUAGAGGACAUUUUCAUUAUGAUACAUAGCAAACAAAUAGCAACUGCUGUGUCAGAGGACAGCUAGAUCCAGAUUCUAGUGAAAGUUGCAAAUAAUUAAAAAAAUCCAAACUAAUGUCUUUAAUAUAGCUCACUGAGACAGAACAGGAGUAAAAACAGUAGGUCAAAGUCCCCCUUACGCAUGUGUACAGAACAGAGGGCUUACAUAUACACUCAAAACGUACUGUCCAAACAGACACAGAAAAAAACUGCAGCAUCCAGGUGUUAAAUGUGGAGACAGUCAUUUUUGGCAUGUUGCUAAUUAGAACUCCAGAAAUCCUAAGGAUGGUGGCUGCAUAAUCCUUCCUGAUAAGCUCCUGUAUUAGCCUUGAAUAAGAGUCUUGCUCUAGCAUUACCUCUAGUGAGCACUAAACCGAUCAUCUCUGUGGUACAGUGGUGACAUUAGGACAGCAUGGCAAAAGCUAGAUGUGUUACAGCCAGAAGGAUCUUUACAGGUGUGGUCUGAAGACCUCACCACUGUUCCUAGGAUAAAAUUUUGAGAGAGGGGCCACUUUCUACUCUGGCUCAGGAAACAAAAUCCAAAUAUUUCUCAGGAAUAUGCAACUGCCCAAGGCAGCCGAGUUGGUCGCAUGCCCAGGCACUGUGUACAAACAGCCAAGAUAAGCAGACACAGCUUUAAACCUCAAGGGCAAAGUCACAACUGUGGAGAUGGAACACCACAGGAAUGGAGGAAUGUUGGGUGCACCAAAUCCAGUAGAAGAUAAAGAUAACAAAGAAAAUAUUUGGCAGAGGCAGGUUCACUUCUUCUGUCUGUUUUUUUCUUGAGGUAAAAUAAAAGUCAGUGAAGUUACAGCUUGAGGUGCAAAGGGAAAGAAACAUCAACCAAAAAAAAAAAAAGUUUCCAGGGGGCAAAAUGAUACCUCAGAUGCAUGGAAUGGGCUCUGGACUGCUAUACUCUUUAAUCAGCACCACAAACAAGUCACAUCUUGCAGACAAUAGAAUAAUGCAUAUCGUGUGGCACAGGCACUCAAACAAGAAAACAGUCUGCAGCAUAGUCAGAACUGAGCAACCUGUCCACACAGAAGAAGAAUGGGACAGAUAAGGAGAUCCCAGCACCUCAGUUUAACACCUUCUUUUAUUUAUUUAUUAUUAUUUUUUUUAACUGAGGUGCCUGUGGAGAAGGACCAGAGAGGUGAAUAAAAGCUACCCUGGGUUGUAUCUCCUUGCCUACCUGUAAGUAAUGCAGAUUCAAGUUCUCACAAAACCUUUACCUUCAGAAAGAUAAGGGGAGAGGAGCCGAAGAGUCACAGAAUGUCCUGGGUUGGAAGGGAUCUUAGUGAUCAUCCAGUUCCAACCCUUUCCCAUAGGCAGAGUUGCCACCUACUAGAUCACAGUGUAAUAAGACAAGGACACAUUUUUUUUUCAUGCAUUUUAGGAGAAAGAUAGGAAAUUUAGGAUUUACUCACCUGGCAGUCCGGAAUCGCUGACAAAGUUUCUCCACCAAGCUCUCAGUCUGUUUGUCUUUAGUGAUAUAUGAGAAGAGAUGUCUGCAAAGGAAAAAUGUAGUAAAGCUGAAAGCCCAUAGAGGAAAUCCCAUUUCUACCUUCACCACGGCUUGCUUGCAGGCCUCCUGCCCAGUGAUCAGCUAGGUGACUCUCCAAAUGUGAAGACUAGAAAGCUCUACACAUCUCAGACUCUGUUCAGGAGAAGCUAUUAGCAUAUAAUGUGUUUUAAGUAGUAAUUGCAGUCCCUGUUGGAGGACAGCUGCUACAAUAAUUAUAACUGCAUGUUUGUUAAGCACCUGCCUAAGAUAAAAUACAGCUAGCUAUACAGCUAAAACAAGGACUCUUGCGGGUCUGGAAUGAGAACUGCUUAUGUCUGUGUGGGGUAGGUGGGUUGUUGAAAAGGCUGUGGUACCUAUUUCUGCUCAGCUCCUUCCAUCCAAUUUUAAGAGAAGCAACGCCUCCAGAUGAUCUCCCCACUUCAGAGCUGUGCUACAGACCAGUAUGUCUGAAAAGGCAGACUGUACUGAGUGUGCGAUGGCAUAGAGACUUUCUUUUCUCAAAAAUCAUUAUUUUGCUGAAGGUACAUUGCUAUACGUUUUCAACAACAGAAAAGUGAAUGUUAUUUUACAUUAAAGAGGGAACAAAGCUGAACAGAACUGAAAUAUCAACUUGAUCCCACAUUUUUCUCAGCUUUUUGAGGAAUAAGACAACGUUGACUUUAAGACAGUUCAUUAAGUACUCCUAUGUUUUGCAUGAUGCCUUCACAGAAGUAUUGAAUAACUGAAUUCUCUGUAUUAAAAAGCUAUAGCACAUAGUCCUCCUUUUUCUUCUACCAACAUUUCUGUUAACUUAUUCUCAGUCAAGCUGCUGCUGGCUUUUAGGUAGCUGCUGCAAGUACAUCCUUGUUUGGUCUUUGUCACACCUACAAUCACCACCAAAUCAAGCUUCCUUUCUCUUAAGCUAUGGAUCUGACACUCAACACUCAACCCCCCCCGCAUUUGUUCCAAUUUCAAUUCAUCUUUCCUUAAUUUAAGCAACCCAAAUUGUGACAGCAUUCCAACCAAGGUCUAACCAGCAUUUCAACAUUUCCUACACAGAAAGCAGAAAUAAAGCAUCUGUUAAAAUAGCAAGUGGAAUGAAUCUCUUGCUAACUUCAGCCAUACCUUUACAGCAGGGGUUGUUACAUUUUGUUCUACUAGUUUUCGGAUCAGUUAUUGCUGCAAUCCUCUUUCUCCAUUAGUCCUUUACCAGCAAUCCUUCCCUCGCUACUUAUCAAUCAGCAGACAUCACUGGUCCUUUCUUUUCUAAACCUCCACAAUCUCCGUUUUGGCAAGUAUCCUUGGAUUAUAAGCCACCCUUCCUCCCAGCUCGUGCCUUUGAGUUUAACUAGAUCCUCUCCAUAAUACAAGCACUUCAUAUAAUACUAUUACAUGGAGAAAUAGUUCAGUUUCAACUACUUCCUUCUUUCCUAUCUGAAGAAUUCAAAGUGGUAUACUAGCUGCCACAGUUCUCUUCUGCAUUAGCUUUAGAAUAAUGUGACUUCUGCCUACUCUGUUAAAUCAAUACAUUUUCUCUUGCUAUGCACUUCUAUUUCUCUCCCUGUGUACUGUGGAAGGCAGAAAAAUCGAUCUGUAUGUGUCUUGAUCACAUGAACUCUGUCCAUCCUCAGUGCAAGUACUAAACUUACUAAUUUCUAUGUCUGUGAGAACACCUCCAGUUUGACAUUUAUUAAAAACUGUACUGAGAAUUUCAAAUGUACAUCCCAUUCUUCUCAUGUAUGCCAUCUAUUUCACAUAUAAUGGUCUUUGAUGAUUUGCUUCUAUCUCUGACACUAAAUUCUUCUAUGUGUACUAUCAGUAGUUACAAGCUAUAUUUCCCAUUAUCUCCCAUUGAAAACUGAAGCAAAACGUUCAUGUACUUUUGGAGUCAUAAAUUAAUCUUAUCCUCACUGGUAGUCUUUUUCUGAGCUUUGCAAUUCCUGCCUGUUCAAAAUUCCAUCCCUCUUCCUAAAUGCAGUGGAAUCUCACUGACAGAAAGACUCCAGUCAAAAACCACUGGUAUGGAACAUUCCCUUCACCCUCAAAGAGGUGGCUGUAGGUUGGUUCCCCUUGGGAUGACUUCCCUUUCAGAUGCAGACUGUGAAAAAGUCCGAUUGAGGAGAACGAGAAAAAAAGCAUUAUAUAUGCCAUGGUAGUUUGUUCUGUAGAUUUGGUAGCUCUUAGCUCAAUAGUCCUAGUCAGAACAGACUUCAUUAACCCUCAUUUCAGAUUUUACAUACCUCAUAAUAGUGUGGAAGGAUUCUUCAUCUACGCCACAGUCAGGAUCUGAGAGACGACUGAUGAUGUCUGGAAGCAGGUUAUAGAUGGCAUUAUCCUGCGUGGGACACAAGGUUCUACAUGAGAUACAAAAUUAUGAAUGACAGCUGGAGCCAAGACAAAUAAGCUGUUCACUUAAAGUUACCUUUUUUCCCAGCACAAAGCUAUUAACUGAAAGCAUCAGCUUCUUGAAACAAGCUGUACACAGCCAGCCAAUCCUAUCUGGGGCUACUUGACUAAAGCUGAGGAGCUAACAACAACUGCAACCCUCUUUGGCAGCCUUGGUUGCAGUUUCUUUACAACCUUGUCACCUCCCAGCACAAAAACAUUCUGGAAGGAAGCAUACAGAACAGUUCAGCUCAAGGAACUGUCUCUCAUCUUGCUGGAAAAGACCCAACCCAAAAUUCCCUUUCCCAAGGCUUACAGGCAGUUUAGUUACAGACAAUGCAGAGAUAGAAAACCAGUACAGUAGGGCUUACCUUUUAACAGAACAAGGCAAAAGGGUAAAGCUCCAGCAUCACUGCCACCUCUUAGGCAGUAAAUCUCAAACUCUGAAGGGCCUUCAGCAGCACAUAGGGGAUAAUAGGAACUAUGGCUCCUACCUGCCUGGACAGUAACUGCUUCAGUUUAAGUAUCUCAAUGUCACACAGCCAGGAAUAACAUUGAAAGGUCUCAUGAUGCACUGCCUCAGCCUGAAGUCAGGGAACUCUUACAAGACUUAUUCCCAAGCCCAUGCUAGGUGUGCACAAGUAAGCAGGUAGACAAAGCACUGGUUUGGAGCCUGCCUUCUGAUGUGAAUGAAUGAGGACAAAUUUGACAACAUCAAAACUCAUUUUGCAAAAUUCCCUUUUUCUACUCUUAUUUAGACAACACAGAGGAACAGCAGAUAGAUCCCCUACAACACACUUUCUCCAGGACUCCAAAUUCUCGUGUCAUCAAGCCAACCCUUACCAACCCCUUGCUACUCUUAUGAACUAAGAAUCCUCAGCAUCCACUUGCCUUGUUGGAGAGUUCAUUGAAAAAGUUUUGAGCCACUCCCACGAUUGCUUCCUCUGGGUCUAUAAGCAGAGCUGCCAUCUCACUCACUUGGCCUUUCACCUUUACCAUGUCUUUGAGGAUGAGGUGAGUCAUCACCACACCAGCCGUCUGCCUCACACUUCGGCAGGGAUCUCGCAACCUGGCAGAAGCAAAUAAUUAACAUGGAAAGCAGCUGAACAUCUCUUAAGUUACCAGUACCCACGACAUCCUACUUACUCCACAAGCCAGUUCUGUUGUCUCCCUCCACUGAUGCCUUAAAAUUUGCUUUCCUCCAAUAGGCUCACCUUCCAGAAGCCCGGUGCCACCCUCACAUCGAGUUCUUAUCACCUGUCCUCUGCUAGCAAUAAACAUGGCAUUACCUGGCAUACA